UAGUGGCGAACGGGUGAGUACACGUGAGUAACCUGCCCUUGACUCUGGGAUAAGCCUGGGAAACUGGGUCUAAUACCGGAUACGACCAUCUGACGCAUGUCAUGGUGGUGGAAAGCUUUUGUGGUUUUGGAUGGACUCGCGGCCUAUCAGCUUGUUGGUGGGGUAAUGGCCUACCAAGGCGACGACGGGUAGCCGGCCUGAGAGGGUGACCGGCCACACUGGGACUGAGACACGGCCCAGACUCCUACGGGAGGCAGCAGUGGGGAAUAUUGCACAAUGGGCGAAAGCCUGAUGCAGCGACGCCGCGUGAGGGAUGACGGCCUUCGGGUUGUAAACCUCUUUCAGUAGGGAAGAAGCGAAAGUGACGGUACCUGCAGAAGAAGCGCCGGCUAACUACGUGCCAGCAGCCGCGGUAAUACGUAGGGCGCAAGCGUUAUCCGGAAUUAUUGGGCGUAAAGAGCUCGUAGGCGGUUUGUCGCGUCUGCUGUGAAAGACCGGGGCUCAACUCCGGUUCUGCAGUGGGUACGGGCAGACUAGAGUGCAGUAGGGGAGACUGGAAUUCCUGGUGUAGCGGUGAAAUGCGCAGAUAUCAGGAGGAACACCGAUGGCGAAGGCAGGUCUCUGGGCUGUAACUGACGCUGAGGAGCGAAAGCAUGGGGAGCGAACAGGAUUAGAUACCCUGGUAGUCCAUGCCGUAAACGUUGGGCACUAGGUGUGGGGGACAUUCCACGUUUUCCGCGCCGUAGCUAACGCAUUAAGUGCCCCGCCUGGGGAGUACGGCCGCAAGGCUAAAACUCAAAGGAAUUGACGGGGGCCCGCACAAGCGGCGGAGCAUGCGGAUUAAUUCGAUGCAACGCGAAGAACCUUACCAAGGCUUGACAUGAACCGGAAAGACCUGGAAACAGGUGCCCCGCUUGCGGUCGGUUUACAGGUGGUGCAUGGUUGUCGUCAGCUCGUGUCGUGAGAUGUUGGGUUAAGUCCCGCAACGAGCGCAACCCUCGUUCUAUGUUGCCAGCGCGUUAUGGCGGGGACUCAUAGGAGACUGCCGGGGUCAACUCGGAGGAAGGUGGGGACGACGUCAAAUCAUCAUGCCCCUUAUGUCUUGGGCUUCACGCAUGCUACAAUGGCCGGUACAAAGGGUUGCGAUACUGUGAGGUGGAGCUAAUCCCAAAAAGCCGGUCUCAGUUCGGAUUGGGGUCUGCAACUCGACCCCAUGAAGUCGGAGUCGCUAGUAAUCGCAGAUCAGCAACGCUGCGGUGAAUACGUUCCCGGGCCUUGUACACACCGCCCGUCAAGUCACGAAAGUUGGUAACAC
rnacentral:rRNA from 1 species